rnacentral:rRNA from 1 species
AAUGAACGCUGGCGGCAGGCCUAACACAUGCAAGUCGAACGGAUCCUUCGGGAUUAGUGGCGGACGGGUGAGUAACGCGUGGGAACAUACCCUUUGGUACGGAAUAGCCUCGGGAAACUGGGAGUAAUACCGUAUCUGGUCGAGAGACGAAAGAUUUAUCGCCAAAGGAUUGGCCCGCGUUGGACUAGGGCGUUGGUGGGGUAAUGCCCUACCAAGCCGACGAUCCAUAGCUGGUUUGAGAGGAGGAUCAGCCACACUGGGACUGAGACACGGCCCAAGCUCCUACGGGAGGCAGUAGUGGGGAAUCUUAGACAAUGGGGGGAACCCUAAUCUAGCCAUGCCGCGUGAUCAAUGAAGGCCUUAGGGUUGUAAGAUCUUUCAGGUGGGAAGAUAAUGACUGUACCACCAGAAGAAGCCCCGGCUAACUCCGUGCCAGCAGCCGCCGUAA